rnacentral:rRNA from 1 species
AACGAACGCUGGCGGCAGGCUUAACACAUGCAAGUCGAACGCCCCUUCGGGGGAGUGGCAGACGGGUGAGUAACGCGUGGGAACGUGCCCUUCAGUUCGGGAUAACCCAGGGAAACUUGGGCUAAUACCGGAUACGUGCGAGAGCAGAAAGAUUUAUCGCUGAAGGAUCGGCCCGCGUCUGAUUAGCUAGUUGGUGAGGUAAUGGCUCACCAAGGCGACGAUCAGUAGCUGGUCUGAGAGGAUGAUCAGCCACACUGGGACUGAGACACGGCCCAGACUCCUACGGGAGGCAGCAGUGGGGAAUAUUGGACAAUGGGCGCAAGCCUGAUCCAGCCAUGCCGCGUGAGUGAUGACGGCCUUAGGGUUGUAAAGCUCUUUCGGCGGGGACGAUAAUGACGGUACCCGCAGAAGAAGCCCCGGCUAACUUCGUGCCAGCCGCCGCAGUAACAC